rnacentral:misc_RNA from 1 species
AAGUCGUAACAAGGUUUCCGUAGGUGAACCUGCGGAAGGAUCAUUCAUAAUAAGUGUUUUACUGCACUUUUUAAAAAUAGUACUCACCUUGUGUGCAAUGUUUGUUUGAAGAGAACACUCUUUCGGGAGUGUACUCUUUGGGCAUCUAUACCAACCUUUAUUUUUAACGACUUUGUCUGAAAAACUAUUAUGAAUACUUAAUUCAAAAUACAA